UACGGAGGGGGCGAGCGUUAUUCGGAAUUAUUGGGCGUAAAGGGCGCGUAGGCGGCCCGGUAAGUCAAAGGUGAAAUCCCUCGGCUCAACCGGGGAACUGCGUCCGAUACUGGUGGGCUCGAAUCCGGGAGAGGGAUGUGGAAUUCCAGGUGUAGCGGUGAAAUGCGUAGAUAUCUGGAGGAACACCGGUGGCGAAGGCGGCAUCCUGGACCGGUAUUGACGCUGAUGCGCGAAAGCCAGGGGAGCAAACGGG
rnacentral:rRNA from 1 species